rnacentral:rRNA from 1 species
GAUUUCCUACGGGAGGCAGCAGUGGGGAAUAUUGCGCAAUGGCCGCAAGGCUGACGCAGCGACCCCGCGUGGGGGAUGAAGCAUUUCGGUGUGUAUACCCCUGUUGCCCGGGACGAACCUCUCCUUUCGAGGAGACUGACGGUACCGGGUGAGGAAGCACCGGCUAACUCCGUGCCAGCAGCCGCGGUAAUACGGAGGGUGCGAGCGUUGUCCGGAAUCACUGGGCGUAAAGCGUGCGUAGGCGGUUGGUUAAGUCUGCUGUGAAAGCCCUGGGCUCAACCUGGGAACUGCAGUGGAUACUGGCUAGCUAGAGUGUGAUAGAGGAUGGUGGAAUUCCCGGUGUAGCGGUGAAAUGCGUAGAGAUCGGGAGGAACACCAGUGGCGAAGGCGGCCAUCUGGAUCAACACUGACGCUGAGGCACGAAAGCGUGGGGAGCAAACAGGAUUAGAUACCCUGGUAGUCCACGCCCUAAACGAUGCGAACUGGACGUUGGUUGCAACUUGGCAAUCAGUGUCGAAGCUAACGCGUUAAGUUCGCCGCCUGGGGAGUACGGUCGCAAGACUGAAACUCAAAGGAA